GUGGAAGAUUUGCCUGGGCGGAGGUAUCAGUAUGUAAUAUAGGAUGGAUAUUUGCCUGUGGAGAAAGGCUGAACUUUUUGGUACGUCAUGAUUGUCCUGCUGUGCAUCACAUCCACUUGCAGAUGAACUGGACUGGAAUUCAGAACCAAAGACCUGGCUCCAGCCAUGCUCCUUGCCUGGCCCUGGUUUACCAACAUGCUGAACGAAAGACAAGAAAAAUGUCUGUUCAAGAAGUAAGUAAGUGUCCUACAAAUAGAAAGUAAAAUUCAAUCUGAGUUGAAA